GACGAACGCUGGCGGCGUGCUUAACACAUGCCAGUCGAACGGAAAGGCCCUGCUGUUGUGGGGUGCUCGAGUGGCGAACGGGUGAGUAACACGUGAGUAACCUGCCCUUGACUUUGGGGUAACUUCAGGAAACUGGGGCUAAUACCGGAUAGGAGCUCCUGCUGCAUGGUGGGGGUUGGAAAGUUUCGGCGGUUGGGGAUGGACUCGCGGCUUAUCAGCUUGUUGGUGGGGUAGUGGCUUACCAAGGCUUUGACGGGUAGCCGGCCUGAGAGGGUGACCGGCGACAUUGGGACUGAGAUACGGCCCAGACUCCUACGGGAGGCAGUAGUGGGGAAUAUUGCACAAUGGGCGGAAGCCUGAUGCAGCAACGCCGCGUGCGGGAUGACGGCCUUCGGGUUGUAAACCGCUUUCGCCUGUGACGAAGCGUGAGUGACGGUAAUGGGUAAAGAAGCACCGGCUAACUACGUG
rnacentral:rRNA from 1 species